rnacentral:rRNA from 1 species
CCUACGGGUGGCAGCAGUGAGGAAUAUUGGUCAAUGGACGAGAGUCUGAACCAGCCAAGUAGCGUGAAGGAUGACUGCCCUAUGGGUGGUAAACUGCUUUUAUAGGGGAAUAAAAUGUGCCACGUGUGGGAUUUUGUAUGUACCAUAUGAAUAAGGAUCGGCUAACUCCGUGCCAGCAGCCGCGGUAAUACGGAGGAUCCGAGCGUUAUCCGGAUUUAUUGGGGUUAAAGGGAGCGUAGGGGGCUUGUUAAGUCAGUUGUGAAAGUUUGCGGCGCAACCGUAAAAUUGCAGUUGAAACUGGCAGUCUUGCGUACAGUAGAGGUGGGCGGAAUUCGUGGUGUAGCGGUGAAAUGCUUAGCUAUCACGCAGAACUCCGAUUGCGAAGGCAGCUCACUGGACUGCAACUGACACUGAGGCUCGAAAGUGUGGGUAUCAAACAGGAUUAGCUACCCCUGUAGUC